rnacentral:rRNA from 1 species
UACGUAGGGUGCAAGCGUUGUCCGGAAUUAUUGGGCGUAAAGAGCUCGUAGGCGGUCUGUCGCGUCUGCUGUGAAAACUCAGGGCUUAACCCUGAGCUUGCAGUGGGUACGGGCAGACUAGAGUGCGGUAGGGGAGACUGGAAUUCCUGGUGUAGCGGUGAAAUGCGCAGAUAUCAGGAGGAACACCGGUGUCGAAGGCGGGUCUCUGGGCCGUAACUGACGCUGAGGAGCGAAAGCAUGGGGAGCGAACAGG